rnacentral:rRNA from 1 species
UACAGAGGGGGCAAGCGUUAUUCGGAAUUAUUGGGCGUAAAGGGCGCGUAGGCGGCUUGGCAAGUGGAAGGUGAAAUCCCUCGGCUUAACCGAGGAACUGCCUUCCAGACUGCUUUGCUUGAGGCCGGGAGAGGCGAGUGGAAUUCCCAGUGUAGCGGUGAAAUGCGUAGAUAUUGGGAGGAACACCAGUGGCGAAGGCGGUUGCCUGGAGCUUUGCUGACGCUGAUGCGCGAAAGCGUGGGGAGCGAUCCGG